rnacentral:lncRNA from 1 species
UUAAUUCUCGAUUUUUUAAUCCUAAUCAAUACUUAAAAAAAGAUGUUUUUUGGAUGACCAAAAUGAAAACGACCUAAAAGUUAAGUGAUCAAAAUGAAAGUUCAAACAUGAUGUGGCAUAGACAGUUAACUUCUGUUUGAGAUUUAAUGUUUGGGUGACUAAAAUAAAAGCGCUUUAAAAAUUGAAUGACCAAGUUGUAUGGAUUUUAUUUUCAAUGAUAAGAAUAAAGACACCUUAAAAAUUGAAUAAGUAACAUCGUUGAUCAAUAAGGCUUAGGCUUCCUUUGGUUUGGCUUUUACAGCCAGUGUGGUGCAGUUGGGGGGGGGAGGGGGAAUUGUACCAAUUUCACUGCUGGGCUGUUUGGUUCAGCAAGUCAAUGCAGUGAGAUUGCAUCUCCACCACGCUGCUCAGCUAAAAAUCAGCUGGUGAUUUCAACAGCAAUGGAGGUGCAGUGAGCUGUUGGUACUUUAGCUCUCCAAAAAUACCCUUACUUUUAUUUAUUAUUUUACCAUUUUAUCCUUGAAAGUUAAACUAAUUUCUUUUCCAAUCUUAUUUUUCUUCAGAUUUGGCAGCCAAAUUCUGCUGAAAACCCUGCUCUUCAACUCCUACUCUUCAAUUGACACUCCUACAAAACCCCACCAACAACAAGCAGACUCAAAGAAACUCUGUUAUUCGACUCAUCCUAUCAAUCUUGUUCUCAACUUCGAUCUGGUAAGUCAAAACCCUUCUUUUUCCACUCUAUAUAUGUGUUUGAAUUGUAUCAAAGUAGUUUCUUUUUUUCCUUCUCAUCUUGUUCUUAGCUAAGAAAAUAAUAACUAUCUGGGUUCAUUUGUUUGUGCGUGAGGUAGAAAUACUAAACCAUAAAAGGCUUCCUUGUGACCACAUAUACUAACAUCCUGAAGGUAGAAAUAUUAGGAUUUUAUUAGAUAAUGGUAUACAGAGAACAAUAUACGACUACAACAAUAGAAAAGAACGUGACGGGUUACCAGGCAAAGACAUUAUUAAAAAUAUAUCACAUAUAGGAGUCCAGGAUACCAAAGGCUUUACUGGCAGUGUCAUGACAUGACAUAUGUGAUUUUAUUAGAUAAUGGUUCUUUAAUACUUUUUUGAGGGAAGACUAUAGUUCACUACUGUCUAUAUUUGGAAAUUAUCAUUUAGCACCAAACAGAAUUACUACUUUAGCCAUACCUGUGUACUAUUGUUUGCCAGUCAUCUCCACCAUACUUCGUUUCUUUUCUAUGGAUCAAUUUCUUUGGUUUUCGAGAUAUCUUAUUUUCCACUCUACCAUCUGAAGCCAUCUCUAACAUCUUCUCUGCAAGUUCAUCAGCCUCAUGCUUGUUUCCUCUUUUCCCAAGUCAUCAACCACUGGCAUGAAUGAUGCAGGGUCAAAUAUAUGAUAAAACUAACAGUUAUUAUGGCUAUGCUUAAACUAACAGUUGAUUAAUUUGAAGGGGAGGGGGUGAAGAAACUAAAAGUCUAACAAAUGCAAAUAUAUGAUAAAAUACAUAAGAAGAGUUACUGUUAAGUGUUAACCUUCAAAACCUUCAGAAUUACUUAACUAAUUGAUGCAAAGGCUUUUACAAAGGCCUAAACUCAUGGUGAUCAAUGCCAUGAAACAAUCAAGUACGUACAAACAAUAAUGAUUCACUUGUUAUUAGGUGGAGGACAAUAAGUGAAAAGAAUACUUCAUAUAUGAACAUAGGUUUUGAAACAGAUUAGCAAUCAUAAUUUGUAGGGGGAAAUUAUGCAGCCAGAGUCAUAACAAAGUCAACCGAAUCAUUUAUCAAAUAACCAUCAAAGCUGCAACAUCCAAAGAAUUUACAGACUUCAAGCUUUCUUCACAUAGGGCAUGGCAUCUAAUAAUCUGUUCUAAACCAACAAUGCAGCACAUGGAUCUUCUUCCUCUCCGAGUAUAGCAAGUUUAUUACAUGAAACUAAUAUGCUACCAAUUUCAAUUACGUCUGAAAUCCAAAACAUUACAAACAAAAACCCAAUAGCUAGAUAUUCACUUUUAUCAUGUCAGUCAAAAGUUAUAGUGCUAAAAACUAGUUUCUCAGAGCAUGAAAGUGUAUAAAAACCUUAUGAAAGGGGAGGGGGUGAAGAAACUAAUAAGUCUAACAAAUGCAAAAAUAUGAUAAAAUACAUAAGAAGAGUUAUUGUUAAGUGUCUAAACUCAUCAACAUUCUCGCAUAAGUUACUGUAUCAGGGGAAAGACCACUCCUUACAAUAAAACCCAUCACCAUUCUCGUAUCAGAAAGCAUCCCAUUCUUGCAUAGACCAUCCAUCACAAUGUUAUACGAGUAAAUAUUAGGUUCUACACCUUUAUCUACCAUAUCUUUAAGUACCAAAUGAGCCUCUACUAACUUUGAAUUUCUUAGCAACCCCAACAACCAAAUAUUAUAACUAUCUAAAUUCAUCAAAUCACCAAUUUUCUCCAUGGACUCAACCAAGGCCUUUGCUUCCACCAACAUCCCUUGCUCAUUUUUUUUAUAUUCUUGAUAAGUGUUUAAAAAAUAAAAGCUCAAUUCAAAAGGCAACUACUCCAUCUAUCUAGUUAUUGAAUUGAAAAAAUAUAUCCAAAGUAGAUGAGAGAAGGGAUGAAAACUAUAUGUAGAGUUUUAAGAAACAUAUAGAAUACAAAAAUAAACCUUUCCUGUAAUAAAACAGUUAAAAAGGAGUCCAGUACUGAAACCUAAGUUCCUUACAUUCAUCAUAAUCAACUACUAGGCUUUCAACUGUUUUAAACCAUAUAUAAAUAUAUUUAUGUCUAUACUUGCAUGGCUUAUAAGAUAUAUAUAUGCUUACCAGAGAUAAAGUUGGUAGAACAUUAGAGGCUGCUGCUUGCAUGUCAGCUGCACCAAAAAGUAAAAUAAAUAAUAAGCAGAGAAAGAAAUAUAUAUGCACAAUAAUGUGAGAAUAUUAAUUAUGAAUAUGGAAAAUGAGCAAGUGAUUGUUUAAUUCUUCAAAGUUUAUAGGGUUUAAUUAUGAACAUCCCUUACACCAUCCUCUCUCAUUCUUUCCACCAAUUUUUCAAUAUCACCAGUUUUACCUUCCUUAUAAAAACUUGAAAUCAAUGUAUUAUACACAACUUGUUAGGAAAAAUCCCAGAACUUCUCAUCUCAUCCAAAAGCUCUAACCCUUUAUUAGCAAGGCCAAACCUACAAUACCCAUGAACCAAAAUCCUAGAACUAAACUCAUUUGGCAAGCAACCUUUCUCAGGCAUUUUAUCAAACAACUCUCGGGCAUCCUCCAAACAACACCUAAAAUCCUUGAUACUAAAUGAUUUCAGCACUACAAUCCUGAAAAAUGAAUGUGUUUCAUCAUCAACGGUAUGUAUCCAAAUCCUUCCACCGACCAAAACUCAAUUCAAUUGCCUAGGUUGGCACUCAAAAGUCAAAACUACUAAAAGCCUCCUCUCCCCUUUCCACCGUAUUAUUAGUUUAUUACCUAAAAUGUACAUUAGUGGGGAACAAUGAAUAAUUAUGAAUAAUACAAGGUUACCAACAGAAUUUAGAAGAAUUUAACCUACUGUUUGUAAAAGGAAAGAAAGACCCCUGCAUUAAAUGUUUGGUAAAGCUCAAUUAAUUCAAUCCAAAACUAAUGGGAACUUUAAAGACAUACUAUUAUAAAUAUAAUUAUAAUAUAUAAAUAUUAAAAUAAAAAAUAGUAUAAUAGGCCAAUUUUGGCCUGGCUAAAAAACAUUUACAUAGCUCAAAUAAUUCGGCCCAAUAAGACCCAAUUUACUAACCCUAAUCUGCUAGCCUAAAAAACACAAAGGGUAUAGCAGAAACCCUAGUAGCCGCCGCAGCAAUCUCACCCUCGCACGCCGCCGCAAAUGGCGCGCAUGCGCUCCUCCUAGCAUGAACCUACAAAAGGCAACAAGCAAUAUAGGCAAGAAAAUCAGAAAAUUGCACAUCAAGCAGAUAAUAGAAUGAUUUUUUCCUUUAUUUUCUUGUUUCAUUACGGCUAUAAAAAGCCAAUUAAAAUUUGUAAAAUACGGGGGUAGAAACAUUGAUUGAAAAAUUAAAAAAGAAAAUACAAGAGAGAAAAAGACUAUUGAGAAUUCAGAAAAUAAAAGGUGAAACACCAUUGUUAACGAUUUUUAUUUUUUUCUUUGCUUAUUCUCUUUUCGAUUCUUUUUCUUUUCUUUUUCUUUUUGGUUAAUAUCUACUGGUUAUUUAAGAAAAGAAACGAAAGGCUAAAUUUUACCUUAUCGACGCCGUCGAAACCUCGUCGCUUCGUCGCAGUCGGAGAUUGAAGGAAGGCUAGGGCUAAACGGCGGUAUUGAGGGGGUUAAAGAAACCCUAAAAAGAACUUUUUUUCAAAAAAGAAGGAUCUGAAGUAUUCUUUUAAUUUUGAUUUUUUAACCUUAAGGAAAAUACAGAACGGCGCCGUUUUGGGAGGGGGAAUCCGCGCGUCGACCCGGCCCGCAGGUUGGGUCCGCGCAUUUCCACUUUAAAUGGGAAAUUGCGCAACAAGCCCUCCCUCUUUUGCGUCAUGUUUUAUUAAACCAGUUGUUUCUUUUUAAUUUGGCCCGAAUGUUUUUACCUUUGUUCAUUUCAGCCCAUAUCGCUGCACACCAUUUUGGGGAGGCGGAUUAUUUCCAAUUUGGCCCCCAUGUAAUUCGCAUAUCGCGAUUUAGCCCAUUAUUUCGCUUAAAUUUCAUUUAUUUCUUGUUAUUUUAGUUUUUUCAACUAUUUGGUCCCUUUUUACAGUUUGUUAUUUUUUUAAAUUUAUUUUCUCCUUAUUAUUAUUGAUAUUGUAAUUAUUAUUUUCAUGUACAUACAAACAUUUUUUUAUAUAAUAUAUAUACUUUUAUAUUUUUAAUUUCAAAAGCUGGUUUUUACUUUUGUAAAUAUGUACAUACGUAUACUUAUUUUUUUAUAUUAUUCUUCAUUAUUUUACAAAUGUAUAUAUAUAAAUAUACGUACACAUUUUAGAAUACACAUACAUUUCCCAUAUUUUAUAAUUUAAAAUAUACAUUCAUUUUCUAUAGUAUAUAUAUAUACCCUUUUUUAUAUUCUUAAAUUAUUAUAAACAUUUUUAUUGUUCUAUAUAUUCCAUUAUUUUAUACAUAUUGUACAUAUAUAUAAGUAUUUAAACACAUACAUAUUUUCAUGAUUUACCUAUAUAUACUUAUACAUUUUUAUUCCGUAAAUAUAUGCUCAUAUACAUACUUUUAUUUUUUUUUAUCUUACUGCCACAAUUUUCGCAUACAUAUAUACAUACAUAUUUUUUUAAAAUUACUAUAAGUUUUUUUUCAUAUAUUUCAUUCCUUUUUAUGUAUACUUAUAUGUUUUUUUAAAUAUAUGCAUACACAUAUUUUCAAAUUUACUUAUAUCAUAUAUAUACAUAUUUUGUAAAUACAUAUACAUAUAUAAUUCAUAUUAAAGUGUUUGUUUUAUGUUAUAUAUUAGCAUUUUAUCAUUUCUUUUUAAAACAAGAGGAUAUAUUUAGUUUCAUCAAAACAUUAAGACUGUUUUGGUCAAAGGUUUUCAAGGUCAUGCAAAUAUUUGAUAUUUGGGAUUUUCGAGAAAAUUGAGCCCUAACGUACUGGGUUCCGAUUUUCCUUGUUAACCCUAAAUAAUCGAGACAUUUUUUUAAACACAUAAAUAAAAAUCAUUUUUGAGAAUUCAACACAUUGUGUCUUAACGCAUUGGAUGUGACGCAUUGAUUUCUUGAAAUGAGGAUCUUUUUUAAAAGAUAAUAAAGGAAAUAUUCUGAGUUUGAGAUUUUGGAGGAAUUGUACCCUAACGUAUUGGGCCGCGAUUUCUUAAAUCUUGAAUAAAUGGAUAUUCUUUUAAAUUUUUAUUACACGAAUAUUCUGGCCUAAUUCAUUUUUGAGGAAAUUAGAAUGUCGUGCCCUAACGCAUUGGGUAUGGCAUUUUCUUUCUCUGAAAUGAUAAGGGUCUUAAUACGUAACGUUUUUAAGUUUUUGCUAAGGAUUAUAUUUUUCAAAUUUUCGACCUUAAGACAUUAAUUAAUUAACUAGGUACCAAUUUUUUGGGCGUUAUGAGGGUGCUAAUCCUUCCUCAUACGUAAUCGACUCCCGAACCUUUUUUUCUAAAAUUCGUAGACCAAAGUCGUUUUUAGGUGACCCAAUCACACCUUAAUAAAAGAUUGGUGGCGGCUCCCAAUUUUCAUUUUUUAAAGUCGACAACCUAAAAUUUUUGUUUUUCAAAAAAAUGGUUUCGACAGCUUGGCGACUCCACUGGGGAUUUUUAAAAAAAUAAGAGAGUCGAGCUACAAAGUUGAUUAAUUUUUGUCUUAUGGUCGAGAAAAUAUUUUUAAAAAAAUUCAUGAAGUCCUUUUGCAUUCAUUAUCUUCUUGCUUAAUGUGUUUAAGUAUUGUUUGCAUUACACAUUACAUGAGUUGAAUGAUUUUACCCUUUUAAGUGGGAGUGAGAAACUAUUCCUUCGUGAGGUUUUCACCUCCGUAUAGGAUAGUGGAUUGCUUUCAGAGUACAUCGGCACCUAUGACUUCGUGAGAUUUUCAUCUCCGUGUAGUCAUAGGGAAAAUGUAUUCCCCUGAACCGAACUUGAUCUAUAUGAGCCUAUAAUGAAUGAAGAUCGAGGAAUCUGCUGGUUCGGGUACCUUUGCUCUAGAAGCCGAACUUCAUAUAGUGAGCCUUAGGAAUCCACCUUAGGUAGAACUAUACUGAACCCUAGUAGAUAUCCGACUAGGUAUUUUUAUUUCUUGAUUAUAUUCUAUGGUUUUAUAUGAUACUGACUUUUUGUGCCUUAUUUUGAUUGCAUGACAUGGCAUUUCAUUUCAUUAUAAAAGGUGUCGGUUCAUAUUCAGUUGCUAGAUAGAAAGCUUAUCAUGGAAAAAGGGUUUCUUGAUAAAGUGGAAAAUAAUACGGUUGCCUGAAUAUAUUCUGAGAAACACAAGAAGGGUGAUAGAAGAGUUUGUGACUUUACUUUGUGGCCCGAGGAUUUAAGAUGAUUGUCUAAGAGCUUUCGACGUUCCAAUUCCCUUAAAGAAGUUGAUGAGCAUUACGAGAAUAGGAAAACGAUGGAUCGUGACCAGGAUCAAGAAAAAGGGAGCUAGCAGUGGCAUCUAUUGGAAAUUUGCGGGAUUUAUCUUAAGCAUGCGGAUGAAGAAAAAGAUCGAUGUUGUCUCUUGGAAUAUAAGGGCGUGUUCGUACAUGUAUCUGCUUUAUGUAAAGAAAUUUGCUUUCUAGUAAAGUUUUCUAAAUGUAAUUGAAUCAGAAUCAACGUCUUUUUUGCAUUCAUUUCAUGCAUUGCAUUACUUCAUAUGCAUUUAAAAAUAUUAAAAGAUUGUAAUUAAUUUAAAUCACUCCUCAGUUAACCUGGAAACCAACCAGCCUACUAAACACCGCUACAGUACUCGAUCAAAAACUAAGGACAUGGAUCAAAGGAUGAAAAGGCUAGAACAGUUCCAAAAGGAAAUGCAGGAGCAGCUUCAACAGCAAAUGAAUGAGCAGCAAAAAAUGAUAGACAAAAUGAUGGAAUCUCAAGGGAGUAUGAUGGCCCAGUUAACUCAAUGGUUGAACAAGGGAACUGAUAAAGGAAAAGGCUCUGUGCUCAAUGUUGAAGAAGGAGAUAGCAAGGGACCUGUUUAUCUCCCAGGUUUUACCCCACAACAUGUUGAGAUUUAUCCACACAAAUCUUCUGUCACCAUUAAGCCUCAGCAGAUCCAGGCUGGCGCUACAACACAAAUAAAUUUUCAAGUAGGAUUGGGCUCUAACCUUGGAGACAACCUUGUUAAUCCUGCUAUCCUUGACUUCGAUGAAAUAGUUGGAAAGGAGAAAAUGAAUGAUGAAUUGCCAAAACAACUAGAAGAAAAGUACAAAUGGCUAGAUGAGAAAUUUAGAGCAAUGGAAUUUGCUAAUAGCUACUAUGGGAUUGAUGCUAAAGAAUUGAGCUUGGUUCCAGAUUUGGUACUCCCAUACAAGUUCAAAAUACCAGAAUUUGAGAAGUACAACGGAACUAGUAGCCCCGAAGCCCAUAUUACUAUGUUUUGUAGACGGAUGACUGGGUAUGUUAAUAAUGAUCAACUGCUGAUACAUUGCUUUCAGGAUAGCCUCAUAGGGGCGGCAUCCAAGUGGUACAAUCGGUUGAACCGUACCUAGAUUAAUUCAUGGAGAGAUCUAGCACAUGCGUUUAUAAACAGUACAGCCAUGUGACUGACAUGGUACCUGAUAGAAUCACUCUACAAAAUAUGGAGAAGAAAUCCAAUGAAAGUUUUAGGCAAUACACACAGAGGUGGAGGGAGGUUGCCGUCCAAGUUCAGCCAUCUCUUCUAGAGAGAGAAAUGACAAUGCUUUUCGUUAACACAUUGAAGGCCCCAUUCAUUACGCAUAUGUUAGGAAGUGUUACUAAAAGUUUUUCUGACAUAAUCAUGAAUGGUGAAAUGAUUGAAAGUGCCAUAAGGAGCGGAAAUAUUGAUGUUGGAGGGAAUAACAGAAGGCAAGCCUCAAAAGAAAUAAAAAAUAAGGUGAACAUCGUGAAUACGUACAGCAAAUCGAUUGCUAAUUAGCAGGGUUCAUCAAGAUAAGAAUCAUGUGUGAAGCAAGGUACUAAAAAACCUCCAGUUCACGCCAAUUCCAAUGUCGUACAAGGAGCUGUAUCAAAGCUUAUUCGAUGCGCAUGUUGUUUCUUCUUUACAUGUGAAGCCUCCACAACCUCCAUUCCCCAAGUGGUAUGAUGCGAACGCACAAUGUGAUUACCAUGCGGGAAUUACGGGGCACUCAAUAGAGAAUUGCAUUACCUUCAAAAAGCUAAUUGAAAAAUUCAUCAACAUGGGUAUUGUCAAGUUGGAUGAUUCAUCUAAUCCGCUACCCAAUCAUGAGUGAUAAUGGAGUGAAUGCAAUAUAUGAAGAUGUGUUGGGAAGGGUUCACAUUAAUGUCAUAUACAAAGACAUAAUUGAAAAGGGACAUUAUUGGAUGUCCGCCCUUAUAAAUUUGGGAGUGUUCAAAAUAAUUGGAUUGCGGAAGAAAUUUCUGUAGUUUCUAGAGCUUAUUUAGAGUAAUGUUCAGAAUAUUCUUGUUUUUUUUAGCCUAAAAAUGAUAGGAAUUCCUUUAUGAAAUAGGCUCAUGUCUGAACAUCAUUAUUCUAAUAAAAUACAUCUUUGCAUUUAUUUUUGAGCCAACAUUCUUUCAUUCUUUUGAAUUUUCUUCCACAUCAUUCUUUCAUUCAUAAUUAUAUUAUACAAAUAAUUAUCCAUAAAUUCACACAUUCUUUUGUAUAUUCUUUUGCGCUUACUAUGGGUCUCCAGAUAUCAAUGGGUAUAGCAGAAACCCUAGUAGCCGCCGCAGCAAUCUCACCCUCGCACGCCGCCGCAAAUGGCGCACAUGCGCUCCUCCUAGCAUGAACCUGCAAAAGGCAACAAGCAGUAUAGGCAAGAAAAUCAAAAAAUCGCACAUCAAGCAGAUAAUAGAAUGAUUUUUUCCUUUAUUUUCUUGUUUCAUUACGGCUAUAAAAAGCCAAUUAAAAUCUAUAAAAUAGGGGGCAGAAACAUUGAUUGAAAAAUUAAAAAAGAAAAUACAAGAGAGAAAAAGACUAUUGAGAAUUCAGAAAAUAAAAGGUGAAACACCAUUGUUAACGAUUUUUA